UACGUAGGGUCCGAGCAUUGUCCGGAAUUACUGGGCGUAAAGAGCUCGUAGGUGGUUUGUCGCGUUGUUCGUGAAAACUCACAGCUCAACUGUGGGCGUGCGGGCGAUACGGGCAGACUUGAGUACUGCAGGGGAGACUGGAAUUCCUGGUGUAGCGGUGGAAUGACGCAGAGUAUCAGGAGGAACACCGGUGGCGAAGGCGGGUCUCUGGGCAGUAA
rnacentral:rRNA from 1 species